ensembl:misc_RNA predicted gene, 27402
UAUUUAGGGUUUUCCUGAAGUAUCUGCUCUGUGGUAGGUAUUUAGCUGUGGGUCCAUUUCAGUCUGUUGAUAUUAAGCACAUUUAGCCUCUAAGAAAUUAAUCCUGCAGCUCACAUCUG